AAACCUUGAAUCCACGUCCCCAAAGGGGCCCAGAACAAGUAUUUUAUGACCGUAGGGGGUUGAGAUUGCACACGUACUGAUGACCAGGGCAGGAAAGUGCACUGUAGACGAGCAAACGUGGAGCAUGUGCAUUGGGCUAAGGUGCGUGGAACAUACAUCCCGUGGUCCGCGUGGGGCGGACGCUUAACCCCAGAAUGAGGCAAAAUUCAGCCGCUGAGUCAUGAGGUUAUCUUAGGACGGAGAAGGAGAACCGGUGUUGGGCGCGCUCCCAGAACUAGUAUCAACUGGAUGGGGUCUCGGGCUGCUUAUCUCGGGUAAGGAAUGUUCCUAAGCUGCGUCCCUAUCAGUUGACCUCGAAUCCAGGCUUCUGCACAGACGGCCCGUGGGUUGGUUAGUGGGGCCCCAGAGAGACACGAUAGCUGAUGCAGGAGACGCAAUUCUUUGAAAGACAGGUUUUAAACCUUCUGGCUCGUUUCGACCUCGUCAACCCUGUGGGGGCACGGUUUUAUGCCUUCUUAGUCACGGAUCUGUGGUGCCUGACGGCAGAGGCCCAGCGGGGAAAGGGAACAUGUUGGCAGUGCACGUUGUGAAUCAUUCUGUGCCUCUUAGAAGUCACUGCCCAGCAGAGCUUUCCAGAGGAGGGAGAGGUGUCAUCGUUUUUGCUUUUCCCACAAACAGACCCUAAACCGAGCUUGCAUGUGGAAGGAGGUGACGUGGGGCACUGGAGGGGGGUGCCUGUGGUCCAGACCUUAUUUGGCAAUAGGGUCUUUGCAGAUGGGAUGACUUGAAGGAGCUGAGAUGUGCUCCUCCUGGAUGAGGAUGAGGUGCUUUCCUGAACCUUUUCUCCUCUUGCUGCAUCGAGCCUGCAAACAUCACCGGCCACUUGUUUGCCUGCAGGGAUGGCCUAGGAGCCUGCUUACUGUGAAUAUGCAAUCAGCGCCCGCCCGCGGGUCACCUGCCCAUGGCUAUCUGAGCCACCCGAAGGAAAACGUGGGUGAGGGACACGUGGUCAAUAAGAACGUCGCAUCGUGUUCCUGGUGGGAUCUGCGGUGGAGAUAUCGGAACCACGUUUUCAAGGGAAGGUCAUACUUAGCGGCAACAAUGUGCUUUUUAGUGCUUCGUUCUUAACACAUUCGAAGGGGGCCUGUCCGCUCCUCGGCCCACGGGAGAUGCCAGCUUGGUCACGUGCAAGAAACAUGACCUGCUCAGGUGAGCGCUCUGAGGGCCCAGGACACCACGGGGAGCCAGCGGCGAGGUGCAGUUGGAUAAUAUAAACCUAUGAAAUUCCAUAUUUUCUCACUGAUACUACCAGCGUCUAUGAAGCCAACCACGUCAAAGUGCCUCCAACCCUAGCAGACGUCCUUCCUCCGUGGACUCGUAGAAGGUAGCAGCCCACCCUCCCCUUUCCCCCCAGCUUAUGGAAACAAUUUACGAAGAUAAAUCUCUACAGGAUGACUGCGUUAAAUAUUUAAUUAGUUCUCCGAACAAACAGGAGAAUCUACGACUCCAAAGGAAAAUAAAAAGGGAAAGCAGAUUCUUCA
rnacentral:lncRNA from 1 species